UGGGGAAUUUUGGACAAUGGGCGAAAGCCUGAUCCAGCAAUGCCGCGUGUGUGAAGAAGGCCUUCGGGUUGUAAAGCACUUUUGUCCGGAAAGAAAUCCUUGGCUCUAAUACAGUCGGGGGAUGACGGUACCGGAAGAAUAAGCACCGGCUAACUACGUGCCAGCAGCCGCGGUAAUACGUAGGGUGCAAGCGUUAAUCGGAAUUACUGGGCGUAAAGCGUGCGCAGGCGGUUUGCUAAGACCGAUGUGAAAUCCCCGGGCUCAACCUGGGAACUGCAUUGGUGACUGGCAGGCUAGAGUAUGGCAGAGGGGGGUAGAAUUCCACGUGUAGCAGUGAAAUGCGUAGAGAUGUGGAGGAAUACCGAUGGCGAAGGCAGCCCCCUGGGCAAUACUGACGCUCAUGCACGAAAGCGUGGGGAGCAAACAGGAUUAGAUACCCUGGUAGUCCACGCCCUAAAACGAUGUCAACUAGUUGUUGGGGAUUCAUUUCCUUAGUAACGUAGCUAACGCGUGAAGUUGACCGCCUGGGGAGUACGGUCGCAAGAUUAAAACUCAAAU
rnacentral:rRNA from 1 species